rnacentral:lncRNA from 1 species
GGGAGGGCCGGGGAUGGUUUCUGGGGGCGGCUGCGGGGGUACGGAGGCGGAGGAGCGGUACCCCGUGGUUCUGCCUUCGCCCCUCGGCUCGGGGAGGGCCGCGGGAGGGAGGAGGGAGCUGCGGAGCGGGGCAGAGGCAUUCCUGCCGCCGCCCCGGGAGCCGAGGCAUCGGAGAAACGGGCAUUUAUAGGUGACGUACGGGCUUACGUGGGAGCUCGUGCCCAGCACCGCUCUCCCAGCGCCGUUUCUACUGACACGACACCUUCCCGCAGCGCGCACCCCCCUUUUCCAGGCUGGGGGGGGGGGGGGAGGGUUGGGGGGGAGCGGGAGGGGACAGCAAAAGGGAAAAGAAAAGCGGCCCUUUCGUAUCCCGCUCGGGAGACGAGCCCCGGAGCUCCGAAAGUGAGCGGAGGGCGAUGGAGGGCGGCGGGGAGCGGGCCGGGACGCGUCCCCGUGCUCCGAGAGCGGGGCGAAGCGGCGGGGGAGGCGGGCAGCGCAGGAACGCGCCCGGGGACCGCAGCGCCUUCAGCUCCCGGAGCCGCGGGCACCGCUCGGGUGAAUCGGGGAUGAAACGUGGGAGAAAUGCGGGAGGGGAGGCGAGAAAAGGUCGGGAGCGAAGUGAGGCUGUGAGAGCGGAGGGGGAUUUGUGAAAUAGAUAGAUAUGUGGAUAAUCAUUUUUCUCUUUCCUCGCUCUGCAAAAGCUGCAGGCGAAACGCUAAAUGUAUAAUUGUGUAAAGGGGAAUAUAAGGAUGAGAAAAAUGGAGGGGGAGCGGAGGAAGGAAGAGAGGGAAGGAGAGAAAGGCACGCGGCACCGCCGUGCUCGUGUCCUGAGUUCGGCCGGAGCUCACGGGCGGGAUGCUGCGGGCACAGCACGGCACGGCCCGGCCUGACCGUCGGGGCGGCACGGACGGCACGGCCCGGUAUCGCACGGCCCGGCCCGGCCCGCUGGAGGGACCCUCUGCCUCUUUCUCCCUUUCUGCCGCCUCCCCCCACGGAAAGCUCGUGGUUCUGCUCUGCCCGACGGCUGCGGUGCCGCACCGCACCGUGCCGUGACGAGCUGUGCUGUGCUGUGCUGGGCUGGGCUGUGCUGGGCUAUGCUGGGCUGUGCUGUGCUGCGCUGGGCUGUGCUGGGCUAUGUUGGGCUGUGCUGUGCUGGGCUGGGCUGUGCUGUGCUGUGCCGGGCCGUGCAGUGCCGUGCAGUGCCGGGCCGUGCCGUGCCGCUCCGGGGAGCCUCGCGGACUUUCAGCACUUGGACAGCGGUGCGGGAGCCGGGCCGUGCCGGGCUGUGCCGGGAGGGUCGGGGGGAGCGCGCGCAGUGAUGCUCCGUACGGCGGAGGCAAUGGGGAGGCGGCGUUCCUUCCUGAACGCCGGGCGUGGGGACACGGCCGAGGGGGCUCCGGGGAGCACCCCUGGAGGGGUACCUCGCCCCGACCCCCCCGCAGCUGGAAGAAAGCUCCGGGAGGCGCAGCCGUGCCCCGGCGGUGCGCCGCGGCCCCGCAGAGGGCACGGGGCCCCGAGGGGGCGGCAGAGGGCGGCUCGAUGGGGUGUGGGGGGAGAGCCCCCUUUCCCCCAUCUUCGGGGGGUAAUUAGGGGUGACACGGAGGGGCUGCGGUUUCUGCUCGGUGGAGCUGCCGGCGACCAACCCCCGCCGCCGCCGCCUUCCUCCCGUCCUCCUCCUCUCACCCUCCCUCCUUCCCUCCCCCCGCCUUCUCCCCUCCCCCUCUCCCUCCUCCUCCUCUCCGCCAUGGUUGGAGUGAAUCGGAGGCUGCCGGGCUGACGUCAGUGCGGGCAGAGCCUGCCGCCGGCGGCAGCUCCUGGACACCGACCAGAACCGGCACCGGCAGCAGCCGGCAGGACGCGAAGAGCCCGGGCACCGCCGCCCCCCGCACCGGGGGUACCGGGGGCGCCGGGGGCAGAGCCCUGCCCGCCCCGCCGCUCUCCCUCCGGGAAGGGCGGCCCCCGCCGCCCGCUUCGCCCACGGACGGCCCCGUCGCUGCCCUCGCCUCGGCUGCAAGCCCGGAUGGCUCCUGAAUGUCCCCGCCGGCCGGACGAAGCGGCGUGCAGCGGGCGGAACGCCCGACCGAGGCCGAGCCUCGCGGCGCAUCCCGGCGUUAGGCCCCGGGUGAGACCCCGCGCUCCGGGAUUUUUCCUUCGGACGCAGCGAGGGCUGCUGCGGGGCAUCGCUCCGUGGGGUGGGGGACGCCGCGACACCGCGCCCCCCCCUCGGGUUCAGCUCCGAGGACAGCGCCGGGGUCGCCGCUGCCCAUAACGCGAUCUGUCGGCAGCCUCUGCUGAGGGAGGAUUUUUUAUUUCACGUUUGCUUCUCUCUGUACCUUCGCUGCAUUUCCACCCCCCUUUCUUCCCCCUUUUUUCCCCUCUUUUUAAAAAUCUUUAUUUAUAAUUUAUUUUAUUUCUUUUUUAAUUCCCUUCCAUGUUUUUCUCCCAUUCAUUCUCUGCUCUCCCCUUCCUGCGGACGUUUAUUUCCUUGCUGCUUUCUUUUCUUUCUUUCUUUCUUUUUCCUCUUUUUCCCCCCCCGUGUCUCCCUGGAAGUAAAACGCAUUUUAGGCCUCAGCCUUACGGAAAGCCGACCCGUAGCAGUUCAGGUGCAUUGGCAGCGCGCACCGCCCGGACCUCCCCCGCAGCCCCUCGACGUGCGCCCGCCCCACAGAACGAGGAGGGUCCGGGGCCGUCCCGCCCUCAGUCCCGGCCCCCGACGGCCGCAGGAAGGAGCGGCCGGGCUGUGGGACCCUUCGGCCGAGCCUUUCCGGCGCCGUGGCACGCUUAGACGCGGCUUUUAAUUGCAAAACAAAGCAACGCGUUUCCCGAACGCCCGUCGGGAGCCGCCGCUCCCGUGAGUUGGCGAAGCCCCGAUUGUUGGAGGAAAAGCGACAAACAAUUAAGACACGAUGCAGCUCGGGGCGGCGAGGCGCGGGGGUUACUCUAGGUUGGCUAAAAAUAACUUCUCCUAAUUAAAGAAAAGUGACGUCAGACGUGCAGGACGUAGAAGAGGGGAAGGCAGCGGACUCGGCGCGGGGCGAUCACGUUCGAUAAUUCAGGGGAACGGGCACCGGGGCCGCUCCGAGGCGCGGGCGGAGAGCGGCUCCCCGUGCCCGGCUCCGGCUGCGGGACGGCUGAGGCGGGCGGCGUCGCUCCCCCGGGGAAGGGAGCGGAGCGAAGCCGAGCCGCGGUGCGGAG